rnacentral:rRNA from 1 species
UCCAGACUCCUACGGGAGGCAGCAGUGGGGAAUAUUGCACAAUGGGGGGAACCCUGGUGCAGCGACGCCGCGUGGGUGAAGGAGUAUUUCGGUAUGUAAAGCCCUAUCAGCAGGGAAGAACAAUGACGGUACCUGACUAAGAAGCACCGGCUAAAUACGUGCCAGCAGCCGCGGUAAUACGUAGGUGGCAAGCGUUGUCCGGAUUUACUGGGUGUAAAGGGCGUGUAGCCGGGAAGGCAAGUCAGAUGUGAAAUCCGGAGGCUCAACCUCCGAAUUGCAUUUGAAACUGUUUUUCUUGAGUACUGGAGAGGCAGACGGAAUUCCUUGUGUAGCGGUGAAAUGCGUAGAUAUAAGGAGGAACACCAGUGGCGAAGGCGGUCUGCUGGACAGCAACUGACGGUGAGGCGCGAAAGCGUGGGGAGCAAACAGGAUUAGAUACCCCAGUAU